AACAGAAAAUCCCACUUCACAAAUCACAACUACUCCAAUUCUCCAACUCGCCAACUUCUACCCAAAUCUCUAAUCAGGAAAAUGGGCCGUUCUAGUCGAACAAUUUACGUUGGUAACCUUCCUGGGGAUAUUCGCGAGACUGAAAUUGAAGACUUAUUUUACAAGUAUGGGCGUGUCGUUGAUAUUGAUUUGAAAACGCCUUCAAAAGCACCCGCGUAUGCUUUUGUGGAGUUUGAAGAUUCGCGUGAUGCUGAAGAUGCCAUUCAUGGCCGAGAUGGAUAUAAUUUUGAUGGCUAUAGGUUAAGGGUCGAACCAGCAUAUGAAGAGAGAGGAUCCUCAUCCUAUAGUGGAAGUGGCCGCCGUGCUUCAAGUCGUUCUGAUCACAAGGGGUUGAUAGGUCGAUCAAGUAGCACUAUUUAUGUGGGUAAUCUUCCUGGAGAUGUUCGGGAGAGUGAAGUUGAAGAUUUAUUUCACAAGUAUGGACCUAUAGUUGAUAUUGAUCUGAAGACCCCUCCAAGACCGCCUAUUUUUGCUUUUGUUGAGUUUGAAGAUCCUCGUGAUGCUGAUGAUGCCAUCCGUGGACGGGAUGGCUACAAUUUUGAUGGCCAUCGAUUACGGGUUGAACUUGCUCAUGGUGGCCGAGGAACAUCAUCCAAGGAUCGUAUCAGCAGUUACAGCAAUGGAAGUAGUCGCGGUGGACUAUCAAAGCAUUCUGACUACAGGGUCUCGGUAACUGGACUCCCUUAUUCUGCUUCGUGGCAAGACUUAAAGGAUCAUAUGCGUCGGGCUGGGGAUGUAUGCUUUUCUGAAGUUUAUCGUGACCGUGAUGGCAUGCGGGGGAUUGUUGACUACACAAAUUAUGAUGGCAUGAAAUAUGCAAUAAAAAAGCUUGAUGAUUCUCUUUUCAAGAAUCAGUUUUCUCGGUCUUAUAUAAGGGUGGAGGAAUUUGAUGCUAGACGUAGUUAUUCAAGGAGCCCUAGCAAAAGUGUUUACACAAGAAGUAGAAGUCCCAGCCGCAGCUACAGUGACAUGAGUAGAAGGUGAAUCCAAGAUAUCCCUAACUUCAAAAGUCUUCUGCUUCUGUUUCGAGAUCUGCGUCCCCACCUCCCUCAGCGUCAAGAUGUGGAUUUGCGUUGUGGUCUGGGGAUUGCAUGUUAGGAUCUUGAUGCUAUGCAAUGCUCAAAUUCACGCGCUCAAAUCUUUCUGGCGGUCAGUAAGCAUCUGCAGCGAAAUGAGAUGAUACCGAUCAAGAUCUAGGACUCCAACGUUGUCUCCAGCUGAAUUCAGGCGUGACAGUGAGAGUCCAUGGAGGAGGAGGAGCAGGAGCAGAUCCAUAUCGCAUUCACACUCUGAGCUAUCUGAGUGAGCAAAUAUCAAGAUGAAAGCCGCUUGCAAACGUAGUUUGUGUUUAUGAUAAUUCAAGUACAAGGAGUUGUAGAUCCAAGGGGGACUCCUUACUAUUAAACUUAUGUUGAAAAUGAAAUCUUAAACCAGUAUUAUGAGGUGACAUGUAGUAGAUAUGUACUUGGUGAUUUGAUAUGAGGUGACAUGGUAGUAGAUAUGUACUCCCCCUGUCUCCGAAUAAGAGUCAAACUUUUUUAUUUCGGUACGGUCA